rnacentral:rRNA from 1 species
UACGGAGGGUGCAAGCGUUAAUCGGAAUUACUGGGCGUAAAGCGCACGCAGGUGGCUGAGUCAGUCGAUUGUGAAAGCCCUGGGCUUAACCUGGGAAUUGCAGUCGAUACUACUCAGCUAGAGUAUGGGAGAGGGUAGUGGAAUUCCCGGUGUAGCGGUGAAAUGCGUAGAUAUCUGGAGGAACACCGGUGGCGAAGGCGGCAUCCUGGACCGGCAUUGACGCUGAGGCGCGAAAGCUAGGGGAGCAAACGGGG